rnacentral:rRNA from 1 species
CCUACGAGAGGCAGCAGUGAGGAAUAUUGGGCAAUGGACGCAAGUCUGAACCAGCAAUGCCGCGUGCAGGAAGACGGCUCUAUGAGUUGUAAACUGCUUUUGUACGAGGGUAAACGCAGAUACGCGUAUCUGUCUGAAAGUAUCGUACGAAUAAGGAUCGGCGAACGCCGGGCCAGCAGCCGCGGUAAUACGGAGGAUUCAAGCGUUAUCCGGAUUUAUUGGGUUUAAGGGGAGCGUAGGCGGUCGCUUAAGUUAGAUGUGAAAUCCCGGGGCUCAACUUCGGAAUUGCGUCUGAUACUGUUCGGCUAGAGAGUAGUUGCGGUAGGCGGAAUGUAUGGUGUAGCGGUGAAAUGCUUAGAGAUCAUACAGAACACCGAUUGCGAAGGCAGCUUACCAAGCUACUUCUGACGUUGAGGCACGAAAGCGUGGGGAGCAAACAGGAUUAGAUACCCUGGUAGUC